GAAGAUAUAGCUCGGCGUUAGAGUAUGUGCUUAGCAUGCACAAGGUCCUGGGUUCAACCCCCCAGUACCUCCA
rnacentral:tRNA from 1 species